AUACACAUUUGAGCGUAUCAGGCACUGAAAUACUGACUGUAAACCACUUGCAUGUGAAGACCACGUGAUUACUCGACUACUUAGCUAAACGUUACGCAGUUGUAAACGUGUUUUUAUUGUGAUGAGACGAUUUGUUUGGUUAAAACUGUAAACAAAAGUAUUUCCAAUUUAAUAACAGAGGUCUCCAUUUCAAACUAAUAUAUGAAUAGAAGACUUUCACUGUUGUAGUAAGAUAUUUGGAGGAAGCAGUCAUUAUGGGCUCAUACCGAAGUCGUGUGAUACAGCUUUACAAAAAUUUGUUGUAUUUGGGACGUGACUAUCCUAAAGGAUACGACUACUUUCGUACUCGUCUAAAGGCAGCAUUCAUGAAGAA